rnacentral:rRNA from 1 species
UACGUAGGCAGCAAGCGUUGUUCGGAAUUACUGGGCGUAAAGAGUGUGUAGGCGGUGCUCUAAGUUCGGUGUGAAAUCUCCUGGCUCAACUGGGAGGGUGCGCCGGAAACUGGAGUGCUUGAGCGUGGGAGAGGAAAGCGGAAUUCCUGGUGUAGCGGUGAAAUGCGUAGAUAUCAGGAGGAACACCUGUGGUGUAGACGGCUUUCUGGACCAUAGCUGACGCUGAGGUGCGAAAGCGUGGGGAGCAAACAGG